GUCAACACAAAGAACACAAAACCCAGCACAUGCAGCUUAAAUUAGAUUUAUAUACACAACGAUAUUGCUUUGGAAAAUGUAUUGGUGUAUAAAUAUGGUAUGGAAUGAAAUGUUAUGAACAUCUUGAGAUCAAAAAAUUACGAUUAAGAUACAAGUUCUGACUUCUACAAUAAAUGGAUUAUUUAUAUAUAUAAAGGAUGCAAUUAAUGGCUAUCCAGCGACAACACCGAGAACACGACACCCAUUCUACAUAUUCAUCAUCUGGUUGACAACGGUGCUUAUCUGAGUUCCAGCUACAGUAUAAACAUAUGUUUGUCAUGUUUUCAGAAUUCUCUAAUAGA